UUGGCCACAGCUCGACAUAAAGCGAUUGAAGCAGAAACAACAUCUGAUUUAAAUUCAGAUUUAGAACAAGAAAAAAGAAUCAGGAAGAAAAGUACACUUUUAUCUUUCUCAGACUCGGAUUCUGAAGACAAUAUGUAUUGCGUGAAACAAAUGCCAGUUUUUCAACCAAAGGCUAGUCAAAAUAGGAAAGAUGUGGAGUCAAGAACACAACCCGAGAUGUUGGAAGAUCAUUUUUUAAAAGUAUAUCUCCCUACUGAAGUGUCAUCUCAGAAAUAUCAAUCGAAAUCUGUUGAAGCUAGUAGAAGUGAAGUCAGUAUCUCACAAACUCCAAAAAGUUCUUCCGAAUCCAACCUAUUUCAUGGUGAAUGUGGU